CCCUGCCCGCCUACGGGAGGCAGCAGUAGGGAAUAUUGGACAAUGGGCGCAAGUCUGAUCCAGCCAUACCGCGUGGGUGAAGAAGGCCUUCGGAUUGUAAAACUCUUUUGUUGGGAAAGAAAUCCAGCCGGAUUAAACCUUGAUGCGAUGACGGUAUCCAACGAAUAAGCCCCGGCUAACUUCGUGCCAGCAGCCGCGGUAAUACGAAGGGUGCAAGCGUUAUUCGGAAUUAUUGGGCGUAAAGCGUGCGCAGGCGGUUUUUUAAGUCCGAUGUGAAAGCCCCCGGCUCAACCGGGGAGGGUCAGUGGAUACUGGAUGACUAGAGUGUGGAAGAGGGUAGCGGAAUUCCAUGUGUAGCAGUGAAAUGCGUAGAGAUCAGGAGGAACACCCAUGGCGAAGGCAGCUACCUGGUCCAACACUGACACUGAGGCUCGAAAGCGUGGGGAGCAAACAGGAUUAGAUACCCUGGUAGUCCACGCCGUAAACGAUGAGAACUGGAUGUUGGAGGCAUCCGCCAUGCAGUAUCGCAGCUAA
rnacentral:rRNA from 1 species